rnacentral:misc_RNA from 1 species
AAGUCGUAACAAGGUUUCCGUAGGUGAACCUGCGGAAGGAUCAUUACACUCAGUAGUUUACUACUGUAAAGGAGGCUGUCAGUCUGUAUAGCUUAAUCGCUGAUGAGCAGCUGGUCUCUUUUCUCUACCCUUGUCUUUUGCGUACCCAUGUUUCCUCGGCAGGCAAGCCUGCCGAACGGACAAUUCUAUAACCUUUUUAAUUUUCAAUCAGCGUCUGAAAAAACUAAUAAUUACAACUUUCAACAACGGAUCUCUUGGUUCUG